UUGCCUACGGGAGGCAGCAGUAGGGAAUUUUCGUCAAUGGGGGAAACCCUGAACGAGCAAUGCCGCGUGAGUGAAGAAGUAUUUCGGUAUGUAAAGCUCUAUCAGCAGGGAAGAAGAAAGACGGUACCUGACUAAGAAGCCCCGGCUAACUACGUGCCAGCAGCCGCGGUAAUACGUAGGGGGCAAGCGUUAUCCGGAUUUACUGGGUGUAAAGGGAGCGUAGACGGCUGUGCAAGUCUGAAGUGAAAGCCCAGGGCUCAACCCUGGGACUGCUUUGGAAACUGUGGAGCUAGAGUGCUGGAGAG
rnacentral:rRNA from 1 species